rnacentral:rRNA from 1 species
UACAGAGGUCUCAAGCGUUGUUCGGAUUCAUUGGGCGUAAAGGGUGCGUAGGCGGCGCGGUAAGUCGGGGUGUGAAAUCUCGGAGCUUAGCUCCGAAACUGCAUUCGAUACUGCCGUGCUUGAGGACUGGAGAGGAGACUGGAAUUUACGGUGUAGCGGUGAAAUGCGUAGAUAUCGUAAGGAAGACCAGUGGCGAAGGCGGGUCUCUGGACAGUUCCUGACGCUGAGGCACGAAGGUCAGGGGAGCAAACGGG